rnacentral:lncRNA from 1 species
GUUAAAAUGGGUUGUGCAAAAAUCGUAUUAAGACUGAAAAUAAUGUGCCAAGAAGGCAUGUUGCAUAUUGAGGGUUGCUUCCACAUCCUGGUGACCACAUGGUUCCUGGUAUAAAAGAAAAACACAAAUUCAGAAAACUGAAGUCUCCUCUUAAUUGCUCUUGGUCUGGAGACAUUUAUACAAACAAAGUCUUGGCCUUCGGUUGGUCGAGAUCAGAGGGAUAAAGGAACUUGACAAAAAAAGGUUUGAGGGGUUCAUUGUAGUUAGAAAUCUCCUGCAGACUCUAAUUUUCUGUGAGGGCAGACGGUUGGGAGUUCUGAUGGAGUGGUCGUUGGAGCAGCAGCGGAUGCUGGAGCCUUAGCUGGCAUGGGUGGUGGGAAAUUUACUGGCGGCAUUUACUGGCAUGAAAGGGUUUCUGUAUCCUGGGUACAUGAGGUAAGAGUGCAUCAAUUCUUGCUGCUGCUGCAUCAACUGUUGCUGCUGCUGCUGCUGCAUCAACUGUUGUAUCAACUGUUGCUGCUGCUGAUCAUCUUGUGGGGGAAGCUUAGAGGCAGUGGAUGAAGUUGCUUCUGUAGUAGUUGGAGCUUCGGUAGUGGGAGCUGCAGUAGUUUGAAUGGGAGCCUUUACUGGCAUGAAAGGGUUUUUGUAUCCUGGGUUUUGCAUCCUGGGUUGUAUCCCAGUAGAUGGAGCUGACGGAUGGAUAAGUGGUCGAUCCAUAGGAGAUUGAGAGGCUUGGGUUGACAUAGGGCAAGAAAGGGUUACUGGAUUGCCUUGCCAUAACAUCUGGAGCAAAUGGUUGCCACCCUGGAGGGAAAAUAAAUAAAUACCAUUAAAAAAAAUAAGUCA